UGAACAGUGCGAUACAUUAAAAACAAAAA
rnacentral:sRNA from 1 species